GAUGAACGCUGGCGGCGUGCUUAACACAUGCAAGUCGAACGAAGCACUUAAGAUUGAUUCUUCGGAUGACGUCUUUUGUGCCUUAGUGGCGGACGGGUGAGUAACGCGUGGGUAACCUGCCUCACACAGGGGGAUAACAGUUAGAAAUGACUGCUAAUACCGCAUAACCCGAUAGGAUCGCAUGAUCCAGACGGAAAAGAUUUAUCGGUGUGAGAUGGACCCGCGUCUGAUUAGCUAGUUGGUGAGGUAACGGCCCACCAAGGCGACGCUCAGUAGCCGGCCUGAGAGGGUGAACGGCCACAGUGGGACUGAGACACGGCCCAAACUCCUACGGGAGGCAGCAGUGGGGAAUAUUGCACAAUGGGGGAAACCCUGAUGCAGCGACGCCGCGUGAGUGAAGAAGUAUUUCGGUAUGUAAAGCUCUAUCAGCAGGGAAGAAAAUGACGGUACCUGACGAAGAAGCCCCGGCUAACUACGUG
rnacentral:rRNA from 1 species